GGGCCCGUAGCUCAAUGGGAGAGCCCUCGGUUUGCACCCGAGAGAUGUGGGGUUCGAGUCCCCCCGGUGUCCA
rnacentral:tRNA from 1 species